rnacentral:misc_RNA from 1 species
GUUUAACAUAGGUCAUGAGGAGGAAAUGGUGAUCGAGCUUGCUAACGAGGUGAGGAAAGUCCUUGACCUCCUCGAGAAUGGAAUCUCAAGGGAGAACAAACUGCUUGGAGCAACGCCCCACAUAGUACUCAAGUCGCACAUACCAUCCUUAGAACUGCAACCACUUCCAGAAGCCAUAGCCACAGAUUCCUAACUUCGAAACUUCACAAACUAAGCAAACCAGAGGCUUCCAGUGAUGGUUAACAAUGGUUACUACCACGCUUAGAUCCACUAGUCUUUGACCUUACUACUAGGACUUAUCUUUGCAAAUU